rnacentral:snRNA from 1 species
GCACAUGAAAGCAAUCUGAAUGUGGCACCUGUAACCCCAUUAGUCACCAGGAUUAAUCUGGCUGAUCGGCUGCCUGUUUGGGCACCUCUUCUCCUCACCACUCCACGUACACGCCACGCACACCCCACGCACACCCCACGUACACUCCACGUACACUCCACGUACACCCCACGUACACCCCUCCUGAAGCAACCUUACCAAAUAGGGGUGAGCCAUCUCUCAGUCCAGGGCAUACAGGUAGCUGUGUACCUGUUCAAACACCCGAACUAUGGGGAAAAAAAAAAAAAAAGCAAUUCAUCAGUAUUAUGGAUAAUAUGCUUCUCAUU